rnacentral:rRNA from 1 species
UACGGGGGGAGCAAGCGUUGUUCGGAAUUACUGGGCGUAAAGAGCUCGUAGGUGGUUUGUCGCGUUGUCCGUGAAAACUCACAGCUCAACUGUGGGCGUGCGGGCGAUACGGGCAGACUGGAGUACUGCAGGGGAGACUGGAAUUCCUGGUGUAGCGGUGGAAUGCGCAGAUAUCAGGAGGAACACCGGUGGCGAAGGCGGGUCUCUGGGCAGUAACUGACGCUGAGGAGCGGAAGCGUGGGGAGCGAACAGG